CUGACCCUGGCCCUGGGGACAGUGUCGGAAUCUCCAUUGCUAGGAUGCCAAGCAGCCUCAUCUCCUGUUGUCCGUGGCUUUGACCUUCCAAAGAAACAGAACAAAAAGGAGCCAGCAAGACUCUUGGCUGGCCUCUUCUACCCUACAAUCUAAGUGGGAGAAUGCUGGUGCUGGCCUGCCAGGCCCUGUGGGACCCACCCGCACAAACACAAUGGGCAGCUUGUACCUCUGGCCACCUGAUCCUCCUGGGCCCCAGGCCUGGCGCCAUGGACAAGGUAUGAGACCAGCCACCUGAACCUGGAGCAGUCUAAGUGGUGACCAAGAAUGUGAGAUUCCCCCUCCCCAUCUCCCACCAGGUCAGGGAGUGAGGCUUUGUCCUCAGGGCUCAGGACAAAAGAACCUCAGUGACGGCCAGGCCAGGACCGUCUUCCCAGACACGGAACUGAAAAUCCCAGGACACUGGCUCAGUCCUUCAUGUGGAUGAAGCGAGGGUUCGGGAGGCUUCCAGGGAGGCUGUAGGAUGAACAGGUGUGGGAUGGGGAGGUAAAGGAUUCUUAGAGACGAAAGGGAGCACACUGUCUCUCCCAGGAUGACCUGGUGUAAGCUUGGGGCAGUAACUAGGGCUUCCUGACUUUGCCCUUGCCUCAGGUAUUUACAGGUGGGUGGUGCCGAGGAUUCUUCACACCCUGGGCUUUGGAGAGCUGGUCUGGAUAGGACCCCCUGGCAGGAAGAUAGCUGCUCUCUUUGGGGGUCAAGGUGUGGAAGAAGUGUGGGAGAGGUGGGUAUGGAGCAGAGGUAUUGAGCUGAAGGCCCCUGCUGAACCAGUGUGCUGUGGGGAGGGAUGUCUGAAGGAGGUCAAGGGGGCAGAAUGGGCACAACCGGCAGAAGAGCGAGGCCACUCACUGCUGAGUCCGCCUGGGACUACGGAGGGGUUGUUCCCAUGCUGAAGGUGUCUGGCUGCUUCCUCAGAGCCUGUCUGCUUUGGUUUCCAACUGGAACAGAGUUUUCCAAACCAGAGUUUAAAUAAACUGAAAACACUUU